rnacentral:rRNA from 1 species
AGGACGAACGCUGGCGGCGUGCUUAACACAUGCAAGUCGAGCGGUAAGGCCUUUCGGGGUACACGAGCGGCGAACGGGUGAGUAACACGUGGGUGAUCUGCCCUGCACUUCGGGAUAAGCCUGGGAAACUGGGUCUAAUACCGGAUAUGACCUCAGGUUGCAUGACUUGGGGUGGAAAGAUUUAUCGGUGCAGGAUGGGCCCGCGGCCUAUCAGCUUGUUGGUGGGGUAAUGGCCUACAAGGCGACGACGGGUAGCCGACCUGAGAGGGUGACCGGCCACACUGGGACUGAGACACGGCCCAGACUCCUACGGGAGGCAGCAGUGGGAAUAUUGCACAAUGGGCGAAAGCCUGAUGCAGCGACGCCGCGUGAGGAUGACGGCCUUCGGGUUGUAAACCUCUUUCAGCAGGACGAAGCGCAAGUGACGGUACCUGCAGAAGAGCACGCUAACUACGUGACCAGCAAGCCGAC